GUGAGAGACAUUUAAUUUAAUUAAUUAAUGUUAAGUUUGGUGAUUAAAACUUAAUAAGAGUGAAAAAGGUGUCAAAAGCCAAUUUGGACUUUUCUUCUUAUAAACCCUUAUUAACCUUUAUAAAAAAAUAAAAAAUAAAUAAAAAAAAUUAAUGGUCACAUAUAUGGAAAAUGGUGGCUGGCCAUGUGCUAUUUUAGAGUGGUGUGAACCCAAUUUUAUAAAAUUCAAAUCCCAUUUAAUUAAGAAGUCAAGUGGGCAAGUGGGUAGAAAAGCACUCAAGUGUUUUGUGAUAUUUUGAAGAGUUGUGUGAGCCAUUCUAACCCCCAAAUCCGACCACUCUCCCUCCCUCAUUCACUCUCAUCUGAUUUUUGAAGACUCUCUCAAGUGUUCUCUCCAUUUGCAACCCCAAGAACACCAAAGAAACUUGGAAGCUAAGUCUUGGUCUAGGAAGGGUUUUCCCUAAGUUUGUUAGGGUUUUUGAAAGGUUUUAAAGGAGUCAAAGCUUAUAGGAAGGUCCAAACCUUAAGCAAGAACACCAAAGAGGUAAGAGCAAGGGCAAGGCAGAGCAGUGAGCGCUGGAGUCUUCCUUGCAAAUGUACAUGUGGACUGACCUUUUGGGAAGCCGUUUUAUUUUUGGAAAUGUUGUGUAAUUUUCCUAAACUAGGCUCACUCUACUCUUUAUAAAAUAUGUUGAAACUAAAUGUUAAGUAUGGCCAUACGACUUUUUAAUUUUUUUUUUUUUUUUUAUACGGGUUUUUGAGACAUUUUGUUAAAUGAAAACAUUUAUAUUUCCGCAUUAUCGAGUCUUGAAAAUCCGGGUCGUUACAGUUGGUAUCAGAGCUCGAGUUGAGCCGGUUCUGUAUACAACCCACAUGUACAUUUUGCAAAGAUAGACCAGCACUCAC